UUGUCCUGGCCUGUGCUUUCUCUGCUCCCCCUAUACUCAGUUGUAACAGAGAAGUCUGCAGGAUACACAGCAGUCUCAGUUUAGGAGGGCAGUCCAGAGUAUAGGGCUGGCUCUUAAAGGCAUGAAAAGAAAAU